rnacentral:lncRNA from 1 species
AUAGGAUGACAAUCUUAUGUUAUGGAAUAAUAUCAGUCAAAUUAAAGAAAGUGUAGUAGAUCAUAUUGUUCAGAAUCUGGAAAACAGUAUCUUUUGAAGUUCAUUUUUCAAAGCCCACGUGGUGUUCAGAGAAUCAAGGUCAAAAACGAAAGUAGAAUAUUGUCGACUCGACCUCAAAUAAAUAACAUUUCCAAAUGAUUUAUGUAUCAGACUUAUUGAACAGUUUACAAAAAAAAAAAAGAAAAUCAGAGGAUAUAUCAAUUUUCUGUCAAUGCUUGAGAAAUAAUUGUAUGAUUUAAAUACGUGUAACAGUCUUUAGAGAGAAGAGGGGGGUCAUUUGUUUACAAAUGCACGUAGUUAUGCAAAAUAAAUCGAUCAAGAUUUAUAACAAACCGG